rnacentral:rRNA from 1 species
CCUACGGGCGGCUGCAGUGGGGAAUAUUGGACAAUGGGCGAAAGCCUGAUCCAGCCAUGCCGCGUGUGUGAAGAAGGCCUUCGGGUUGUAAAGCACUUUCAGUGGGGAAGAAAGCCUUGGGGCUAAUACCCUCGAGGAAGGACAUCACCCACAGAAGAAGCACCGGCUAACUCCGUGCCAGCAGCCACGGUAAUACGGAGGGUGCGAGCGUUAAUCGGAAUUACUGGGCGUAAAGCGCGCGUAGGCGGUCUGAUAAGCCGGUUGUGAAAGCCCCGGGCUCAACCUGGGAACGGCAUCCGGAACUGUCAGGCUAGAGUGCAGGAGAGGAAGGUAGAAUUCCCGGUGUAGCGGUGAAAUGCGUAGAGAUCGGGAGGAAUACCAGUGGCGAAGGCGGCCUUCUGGACUGACACUGACGCUGAGGUGCGAAAGCGUGGGUAGCAAACAGGAUUAGAUACCCUAGUAGUC